CCUACGGGGGGCAGCAGUGAGGAAUAUUGGUCAAUGGCCGGAAGGCUGAACCAGCCAUGCCGCGUGAAGGUCAGUGCCCUAUGGGCGUUAAACUUCUUUUGUGCGGGAGCAAUAAUGGUCACGUGUGGCCAGACGAGAGUACCGUACGAAUAAGCAUCGGCUAACUCCGUGCCAGCAGCCGCGGUAAUACGGGGGAUGCAAGCGUUAUCCGGAUUUAUUGGGGUUAAAGGGUGCGUGGGCUGUGAGGUAAGUCAGCGGUGAAAUGCCCCCGCUCAACGGGGUGAAGUGCCAUUGAUACUGCCUUGCUGGAAUGCGGAUGCCGUGGGAGGAAUGUGUGGUGUAGCGGUGAAAUGCAUAGAUAUCACACAGAACACCGAUUGCGAAGGCAUCUCACGAAUCCGCGAUUGACGCUGAUGCACGAAAGCGUGGGUAUCAAACAGGAUUAGAUACCCCUGUAGUC
rnacentral:rRNA from 1 species